UUUCCGACGACAAUCGUGCGCGUUCGCUCGCUCAACUAAUAGAAACUCGACAACAUUGAACUAUAUCGAGAAUUAUCGCCUAGACUACAAAAUUCCAACAACUAAUUGGGCGCCUCCUAUCGAAGAAACUAAUGUGUACUAAUACCAGGCGCCCUCCCCUUGACCUCACCGACGCCAUCCUGGAUCUUCUCCCUUUGAUCGUUUUUUUUUUUUUUUUUUAAUAAAGAGAUCUGCCACGAAACUGCCCCCUCUCGAUCGGGUUAAUUGUCUAUUUAUUCCUGGGCAGAGUACCAAUUGUUUCUGUCGUCCAUUCCAAUCGAUAAUUAAAAUAUUGCCGACUGAACCUCUUUCUAUUAAACUUUAUAGAACAGUAACAAACUUUAACUUAAUAAUAUUUUAAUAUUCUAUCGGAGUCAAUAACUGAAACGUCCUCGAGCGAAUAUUCUUGCAUUGAAUAUCGUAAAAUAGUGGAAUAUAGAAUAUUAUGAAAUCUUAUUGAAAAUCUAAAAUAAAUUUCAGCAACGUGUAUCUAUGGAUCUAAUAUCAAAUUUACAAGUUUCUGCACGAAGUUCACUCUUCCUAAAAUUCUCAUCAAAAUCUGUAGUUCAGCAAUGGUUUUUUAUAACGGAACAAUAUCCAGCGAUUCUAAAGGUUCAGAGAUAUUUUAUUUUAUUCCAAAACUAAGGUUCACCAGAGGAUUGGACUCUGCCCAAAAUUGGCGAGAGAGAGAGAGAGAGAGAGAGAGAGAGAGAGAGAGAGAGAGAGAGAGA